AGGUGAAACCGCGAAUGGCUCAUUAAAUCACACCUAAUCUACAGGAUAAUUCAAGUUACUUGGAUAACUGCGGUAAUUCUGGAGCUAAUACAUGCUACAAACUCCGAACUUACGUGAGGAGUGCUUUUAUUAGAUCAAAACCAAACGGCUUCGGCUGUACUCUUGGUGACUCUGAAUAACUUUUGGCAGAUCGUAUAGCCUUGCGCUGGCGACAUAUCCUUCGAAGGUGUGCCCUAUCAACUGUCGACUGUGGCAUAGACGCCCACAGUGGUUUUGACGGGUAACGGGGAAUCAGGGUUCGAUUCCGGAGAGGGAGCCUUAAAAACGGCUACCACAUCUAAGGAAGGCAGCAGGCACGCAAAUUACCCAAUGAACGAAGUUCGAGGUAGUGACGAAAAAUAACGAUAGCGGACUCAUCCGAGGCCCGCUAAUUGGAAUGAGUACACUUUAAAACCGUCCCCGAGGAUCCA
rnacentral:rRNA from 1 species